GCAGCCGCCGCGGUAAUACGGAGGGAGCUAGCGUUGUUCGGAAUUACUGGGCGUAAAGCGCACGUAGGCGGUUAUUCAAGUCAGAGGUGAAAGCCCGGGGCUCAACCCCGGAACUGCCUUUGAAACUAGAUGACUGGAAUCUUGGAGAGGUCAGUGGAAUUCCGAGUGUAGAGGUGAAAUUCGUAGAUAUUCGGAAGAACACCAGUGGCGAAGGCGACUGACUGGACAAGUAUUGACGCUGAGGUGCGAAAGCGUGGGGAGCAAACAGGAUUAGAUCCCGGUAGUCCCUGUCUCUUAUACAC
rnacentral:rRNA from 1 species